CGAUGACAAAUAUUAACAAGAACUAAAUAGCCAAUCUUCCCGCUGAUGGUCUCAUUUACUUUUGUAGGUCAUAAAGAGGCGUCAGUAUUAAAUUGAGACUGUUCCAUAACCAGUUAAAAGUUCCUCACAGUAACUUUAAAGUGUUCUCACAGGUUUCUGCAUAUCGCCAAAGGACCCAUGUUCUGGUUAAGCGUAGAGUAAACGUCGUUACGAAACUCA